rnacentral:rRNA from 1 species
CAGCCCCGCGGUAAUACAGAGGGUGCGAGCGUUAAUCGGAUUUACUGGGCGUAAAGCGUGCGUAGGCGGCUUCUUAAGUCGGAUGUGAAAUCCCUGAGCUUAACUUAGGAAUUGCAUUCGAUACUGGGAAGCUAGAGUAUGGGAGAGGAUGGUAGAAUUCCAGGUGUAGCGGUGAAAAGCGUAGAGAUCUGGAGGAAUACCGAUGGCGAAGGCAGCCAUCUGGCCUAAUACUGACGCUGAGGUACGAAAGCAUGGGGAGCAAACAGGAUUAGAUACCCCAGUAGUCCCUGUCUCUUAUACA